GGCAACUACGUGCCAGCAGGCGCGGUAAGACGUAGGGGGGACGCGUUGUGCGGAGUUGUUGGGCGUAAGGGGCGUGUAGGCGGCCAAGCAGGUCCGCUGUGAAGACUCGAGGCUCAACCUCGAGAGGUCGGUGGAAACCGUUUGGCUAGAGUCCGGAAGAGGAGAGUGGAAUUCCCGGUGUAGCGGUGAAAUGCGCAGAUAUCGGGAAGAACACCCGUGGCGAAGGCGGCUCUCUGGGACGGUACUGACGCUGAGACGCGAAAGCGUGGGGAGCGAACAGGAUUAGAUACCCGGGUAGUC
rnacentral:rRNA from 1 species